UGCAUCAGCCGGGAUUCGUACGUGGGCCGCCCGCGUGGCAGGCGAGCAUUCUACCACUGAACCACCGAAGC
rnacentral:tRNA from 1 species